GCAAACACAAUAAGCUCUUGAUAAAAAUAACCAGGAAAAACGGUGUUACAUAUUAAAAUAUUGCUACUGUAUAUAAAAUCUCGUCCCUUUGAAUCCAGUCUAUACUUCUAUAAUGUUCAAACAUGCUUUCAAACUUCCAACCUUCAUUGAACCUGUCCACAUCGCAAGGAACAUGUGACCUGGUAAAGAUGGCAAAAAUUGUUGGGAGCAGUAGGUGCAAAAGUUAGAGCUUCGGCAGAUGUUUCGAAAACAAACAGAAAAUUGCAAGGAAGACAUAAAGAAAACAAAACCAAUAAAGCAGAAAAUGUAUAAAAACUAGCUAUCUUCUGCUAAAACUCACAUUUAAGUUACACAAAGUUGUGUACGAUUGUU